rnacentral:lncRNA from 1 species
UUUGAAUCUGGACCGUUGGAUCUCAUUUCCAGAUUCAAUCUCAGCCUUUGUUUGUUAUGACUUUUUUUAAUUCUUUGUGUGACGCGGUUGACCAGGGUUCACCAUGAGCGCGCGCUUCAGGACCAUCAGAUUGACCACGUAAAUUAAUGAACGUGAUCCAACGCUUCCGUAUUUUCCUUUCUUUUUUAAUUUCUAAUUUUAUUUUCUUUAAUUCCUUUUUAUUUCAAAAAUUGAUAUCUCCUUCAUUUAAAAUCCAAAAAUUAUG